rnacentral:snRNA from 1 species
UCUCUUACAGUACAGUUAAAAGGAUCAACAACAUUGUGGUCGUACCUACACAGACCACCCAAAUGUGGGAAAGUCGACUGCAUAAUUUGUGGUAGUGGGGGACUGUGUACGUGCUUUCCCCUA